GGCACUCUAUAAAGAUUGUUUUCUAGGGAAAUGUGUAUUUAUUCUGCUGUGAUCACAAGAAUCCUGCUGUCCAGAUAAUUCCCUCAUUAUGUGCCAUUUGUCCAUGAAUAAUUGAUUUCGUAAUGGUGAACAGGACUGCUUAGAACUCUAUUGACAUGACAUUAACAUUUCUCAUGUCAAAACUUGAAGCACAAAAAACAUGUGUUCGCAUGAAAGACAAUGUGAAUAACGGUCAGG